AACGCUAGCUACAGGCUUAACACAUGCAAGUCGAGGGGCAGCAUGGUCUUAGCUUGCUAAGGCCGAUGGCGACCGGCGCACGGGUGAGUAACACGUAUCCAACCUGCCGUCUACUCUUGGACAGCCUUCUGAAAGGAAGAUUAAUACAAGAUGGCAUCAUGAGUCCGCAUGUUCACAUGAUUAAAGGUAUUCCGGUAGACGAUGGGGAUGCGUUCCAUUAGAUAGUAGGCGGGGUAACGGCCCACCUAGUCUUCGAUGGAUAGGGGUUCUGAGAGGAAGGUCCCCCACAUUGGAACUGAGACACGGUCCAAACUCCUACGGGAGGCAGCAGUGAGGAAUAUUGGUCAAUGGGCGAGAGCCUGAACCAGCCAAGUAGCGUGAAGGAUGACUGCCCUAUGGGUUGUAAACUUCUUUUAUAAAGGAAUAAAGUCGGGUAUGGAUACCCGUUUGCAUGUACUUUAUGAAUAAGGAUCGGCUAACUCCGUGCCGGCAGCCGCGGUAAUACGGAGGAUCCGAGCGUUAUCCGGAUUUAUUGGGUUUAAAGGGAGCGUAGAUGGAUGUUUAAGUCAGUUGUGAAAGUUUGCGGCUCAACCGUAAAAUUGCAGUUGAUACUGGAUAUCUUGAGUGCAGUUGAGGCAGGCGGAAUUCGUGGUGUAGCGGUGAAAUGCUUAGAUAUCACGAAGAACUCCGAUUG
rnacentral:rRNA from 1 species